UACAGAGGGUGCGAGCGUUGUUCGGAAUUAUUGGGCGUAAAGCGCGUGUAGGCGGCUUUGCAAGUCGGGUGUGAAAGCCCUCAGCUUAACUGAGGAAGUGCGCCCGAAACUGCAUUGCUUGAGUACCGGAGAGGAUGGCGGAAUUCCCCAAGUAGAGGUGAAAAUUCGUAGAUAUGGGGAGGAACACCGGUGGCGAAGGCGGCCAUCUGGACGGAUACUGACGCUGAGACGCGAAAGCGUGGGUAGCAAACAGG
rnacentral:rRNA from 1 species